rnacentral:tRNA from 1 species
GGGGCUGUAGCUCAUCUGGCUAGAGCGUUUGAAUGGCAUUCAAAAGGUAGUGGGUUCGAUUCCCAUCAGCUCCA